AAUAUUACAUGCAAAAAAAAAGCUGAAUAUGAAUUAAAAAAAGCAAAAAUACGUAAUAAAAAUGAAAAUUAUGAGGAUAAUGUUUAUGUAAAAGAAAUAAAAUGUUAUGAGUAUGUAUUAGAACAAUUAAAUAAUUUAAAUUUAUAUAAUUGUAGCGAAAUUAAUGAAAACAAUAAAGCUUUAUUAGCAUUAGCAAAAACUAAAUGUAUUUUUGUUAAAUCAGUUAGAUCAUUUCCACAAGAAGAAACUGGUUGUGUACUAAAUGCAAAAAAUUUAACUAAACUACAAUUAUAUUUAUAUAAUAAUAAUUUUAUUAAUAAAUUUCAAAAAGAAAAUAUUGUUGAAACAUUAAGUUUAGAUGAAUUAAGAAAAAUAGAAAAUAUAAAAAAUCCUUGUGUUAAUAAUAAGGAAGAUUAUAAUAAUAAUGAUACUAAAGAACUAUUAAAUGAAUUAUAUUAUACAAAUAUAAAAGAAAAUGAAGAUAUAUACAAAAUAAAAGAUCAUACUAUAAAUAAUUAUUCAAAUGAUAAUAAAGAUUAUAAUAAUAAUAAUAAUAAUAAUAACAAUAAUAAUAAUAAUAAUAAUAAUAACAAUAUUAUUACGAAACAAAAUAAUAGUAUAUAUAUUAAUGAAGAUAUUGAUAAUGCAAAUGAAGAAUUAAGAAUAAAGUUAUGUGAAAACUUAAAAUAUAAAAUAGUUGCUAAUUGUACUAGUGAUAAAAAUAUGUCUGACACGGCUUUUCAAAUAUAUCAUGCAGAGUUAAAUCAUAUUGACGAUAUAUGCUUUUAUAUACAGUCAAUAGAAUGGAACAAAAAAACUGAAGAUAAUAUUAACAGGUUGGGAGAAGCUUCUAUUCUCAUAGCAAAGCAAAUGACAACGAAUUUGGAAAACAUGAAACUAAUAGAACAUGCACAAGUACAGCAAAUAGAAAACACGAAUAGGUAAAUUGAAAAAUUAAUUAUACUAACACACAUAUCGCAAAUGUGAGUAUCUACACAUAUACAU
rnacentral:lncRNA from 1 species